UUGUGGAAUUUUCCAUCGAAAGUACGCAAAAUAUUUUGUCUUCAAUCAGUGAGAUAUGUGAAAAGUAAAUUUAAUCAAUUUUUAUAGUAGUUUUUAGAGUGAAAAUUGUGGAAAAUCCGAUUGUUAAAAAAAAGGAUAAACAUGACAAGUAAAUCAGACUACAUACAAUAAAUAGGAGAGAUGUAUGGAUCUUAUUCUCAACGAAGCCAUUCAGUCUGUACCUUGUUAGUUUUCCGAAGAUUUCACCGAAUGAGCGCAUAUGACCCAUCUUACACGCUGUAAACCCAUAAUCGAAUUGUGAAAAAUUCGGUUGAAGAAAUAGGAUAAACACGAAAAGGUACUGUAUUAUUUGUAUAAUUUAUAAUCAUUAAUUUACCAAUCUGUUUCCAAUAAAUUUAUCAACUUUUUAUUCAAAACUAAUUCUAUGAUUUUACUACCUUGCAGUUAGUUAAUCAAACGACAAUGAACAAAAGGAACAUGGAUCUUAUUCUCAUUGAAGCCCUUCUAUCAGUACCUGGAUAAAGCAUGCUGAUCACAAAUAUUGAUUAAAAUAGGAUAGAGGAAAUCAAUUCGCGAGAAUUGAAGUUUAAAGAUUUCGUCAACUGACAUAAAAAGCAGGACUUUCUCGAUUCUAUGAAGAGGGGAACUUUGGAGGAAAAUGACGCUGAAUGAUGUGGACACUUCAAAAAAUUGCCCAACUUCACUGGACACAUUCUCUUUUUGUUUUAACAAAACGGGGUAAAAGAGACAUCCAUUUUAUUAAAAAUUGUUUUAUGUUAUCAAAAGUUCAAUUAUUUAUAUCACAAAAUAUGAUUGAUGUAGUUUAAAGGACUGCAUUUUUUUUAACAAAAUGUCUUCUAAAUGUAAAUUAAAAUUUAAGUAUA